rnacentral:misc_RNA from 1 species
AACGCAAAUUGCACUCCCUGGCAUUCCGGGGAGUAUGCCUGUUUGAGGGUCAGUUUAAAUAAAUAUCGUGGUGUUGCUUUUUGUGACGCUUCGGAAUUGGGCCUUCUUGAUCCUAUGGGUUAAGUGACCUAAAAUUGAUGUAUCUCUGUGCAUCUUGGACGUACAUAAGAAUUUUUUUUCCUAUCCGUCAGGGUUGCCAGGUCCUUAUUAGGUAUGAUCACGUUGUUUGUGAAAUCUGUACCUAUAAUGUAACUCAUAUUUUGACCUCAAAUCAGGUAGGAAUACCCGCUGAACUUAA